CCCAAAGGCAGCACUUCCAUCUCUACUGGGUCUCGGGGCUUAUUUGUUGAGAUAACUGCUGUCCCCACCCUCUCCACGCCCUGCCUCCUAGGGACACAGUGUGUGCUCUCCGGUCAACUGCACGCUGGGACAAGAACGUGGUCAGACUAAGACCAGCCUGUUCGGGCGAGAAAGUGCACUCAAAGCAGGAGGCAGAGGGAGAGGGAGAGCAGACUCCCCGCUGAGCGUGGACCCCCCCCCCGCCCUCCGACACAGGGCUCGAUCCCAGGACCCUGAGAUCAUGAGCUGAGCUGAAAUCCAGAGUCGG
rnacentral:lncRNA from 1 species